rnacentral:lncRNA from 1 species
UUUAAACUAAGAAGUGGUGUUUAAACUAAAGAGAAAAUAAAAAUGGUGUUUAUACCAAAGAGAAAAGUAAUAAGAGUGAUGUUUAAACCAAACAGUGUGAUGCAGAGAUGAGUAUUGUUGAUGUUGAUUGUUGAAAUGUAUAUGGGGAAGAAGACUUGAAAAUCACUUGAUUUGAAUUACACUAAAGUCUAUGAAUGGAGGUGAAAACUUUGAACAGCUAGAUCAAGCGUCUCGUAUCCAAAGG